AUGAUGGACUAUAGGACAGGACUGCUGCUUUUAACUAUCUGCUGGGCAGGUGUUGAUGGUCAGACUUUGACAGAAUCUGAACCAGUGAUUAAAAGUCCUGGAGAAUCUCACAGAUUGACCUGUACAACCUCUGGAAUCUCAUUCAGUGGCUACUGGAUGCACUGGAUCAGACAGGCUCCUGGAAAAGGGCUGGAAUGGAUUGCCUGGAUUAAUACUGAUGGUAGCAGCACUAACUACCCCCAGUCAGUCAAAGGCCGGUUUACCAUCUCCAGAGACGACGGCAGACAGCAGGUGUAUCUGCAGAUGAACAGUCUGAAGACUGAAGAUUCUGCUGUUUAUUAUUGUGCUCGAGACUCACAGUGACUGAAGUUGGUUGAGCAGCUGUACAAAAUCCUACAGUACU